GCCGGCGCGACGCGACCCGACGUGGGCAGUGAGCCAAAGACGCCCAGGGGACGAAAAGACAGUCCUCUUCACGGACCUCAACGAUUGGCGAACGGAUCCGGGUGGCUGCGCCUGCGCAGAACGCUUUGAACGGUGCCUCGGCACCGAGGUUGUUUUUGAGUCCUGUACUGCCUACUGCGCCUGCGCUGCGCAUGGAGCCUUCGACGACCCGUAGCUUUGGGGAGUUCGCUUGUUAUAAAUAUUCGGGCGGUGGGCUCUUGACCUGUGACAACUGGAGGAAUGACGGGGUUGAGGAAAUCAAGUUCCUGAGAUACUCACUGAGUAAAUGGCGGCUUGUGAUGCCACGUUCUGUGAUGGUGGCCUCCAUGGCACUGAUGGAUGAAGGGAAGAUAUAUGACUGCUGAAGAACCUGGGGGAGCUGCGGACGGUCCAGGGAGCUAAAGGCUGUGGCAUUAUACUGCUCUGUCCCUUCAUACAGCUCCAGCACUGUGAACUCAUUGCGGCGGGCCUUCGUGUUCCAAUAUUGGUACUGCAAGAAAAGGAAGACAUGGCUUGUGAUCUGAUGGGUAUGACAGCCUGUUCCAAGACUGCUAAUUAACCCAAAUGAUAGUGCCCUGCUAAAAACAUAGAGCUCAGGGAAGAUAGGGAAAAAACCAUAGUGCUCCCACUACCCUGUCCUCUACACUAUCUUUCUAGUUUAUCUAGCAAACUAAAUUUAAAGAUGGAGAAGAGCUCCGCAUAAUAGCCAGAUGUCUGGGGUACAUGGUAGGAGGAAUUUGACUUCGAGGUAACCCCAGAACAUUGAGAUAAGUGAAUCAUUGGAGUUUUACAGGGAAAGAGGGACACUAACUCAUCUCUAAAGCUAGGGAAGCUUGCCUCCCACUUCCACAACAUACAAUAUCCAAAGGUCCUAUCUCUAACCCCUAUGUUCAGCCAUAUAUGCAGAUAUGCUCAAUGUGCUAGUUAUUCCUUACCACCACCCAGUUCUCUGAAUGCACAAGAUGGACAGGUCCUUUGGCUUUCUUCUGUACUGAGGAAUGAAUGAUACGCCCUGUGACACCAUCAAUGAGGUAGAUGCCAAUAAAGGUGCGUUCAUGGUGCAGGUCUGUGCUCUCUGUCACCACAGCCAGCAGAUUGGGGUUCAAGCUCUAGAGGGGAAAGGAAAACAAAAAUGGCUCAUAUCAGGUCAUUAUGGGACUAACAAUCUUGAUGACAGAGUGAGCCGAAGGAUCUUCCCAUUUCUUUGCUGUAAAAGGCAGAUGGGAAUGAGAUGUCCAGGAUCAAAAACAGUUGCUACAAAUCAUCAGUAUCACAACAAAAUAAAGCCAACCUUAAAACUACUGAAAAUGCCGAUCACUUUUGUUGAUCUAAGAUGGCCCUUGAAUAGGAUUUUGCAAUGCCUUUAUGUCACUAUAAACAUCAAUGAUCAUAGACAGUAGAUAUAAACAAGUUAUUUAUGGCAAGGAUGAAAGAUGACCAAAGUAAACAACUUUUGUGCAGUCUUAAUCCUGGUGCCUGACUCUGGGUGUCCUUGCUCUUCUACAGUCUGUGAUUAUCUAAAAGCUGCCACCCAACUCAACACUACUUCAGGGUUCUCCUGAGUACUCCAGCCCUCCAUUUACUAAGGCAGGUCACAACCCUGAAGUAUUUAAUUGAGAAUCUUCAUGAGUUAUGUAGACAAAAGUAUUAAGUCUCUUGGUGGCCCAUUCUUUGGUUACCAGUGUCUCUAACUUAGCUAGGCUGGUCCUUAGACAGCACAGGCCCUUGCACAGAGAGUAGUUAGUUGCUAUGGCUUAUGUUCUACCAACACACCUGAGAGCCAUCUCCCACCACCCCAUCCCUCCAGAAGGCAUCAGAAAAGGACCUAAAUACAGAAACAUAUACUCUUAUUAUGUGUCUUUAAUCUCUUCAGAGGACAUAAGAGUGAGAACAUCUUCUUCCUAGCAUAGGCCAGACAUCAUCUGCCCCAACAACAAUACCUUGUAGAGCACACUUCGAUCACCCAUCACUCGGCCCUGGGAGUGCACAUGCUCACUGGUCCGUUUCCCUUUCACCGUCACUAUUCUCUGUACCUCUGGUGGAAUAGUUAGCUCCCAGCUCAGUUCUGUUGUCAAAUCCUGAAGCAGAGACAAAGGAGAGUUUAGUUUUUAACUCUCAGAAGGUCCACAACUAGAAUUGGUGCCUCUCAGAGAGUUUACAGGAAGGGCCAGUGUGGAAGUCAUCAUGGCUUAUGGCUUAUCUUUGUGCUAAGAAAAGCAGGAAUCAAUUCAAAGAAUGCCCCAAAUAACUCUCACCGAAUCAUCAUUAUUUAUUUUUUUUUGGUUACAAUACUCACUUUAUUUCCCUCCCUCCCUCCCUCCACCUACCCUUCCUGCAGCCAAUGCGCAAUUUCAUUGGGUAUUACUUGUGUCCUUGAUCAGAACCUAUUUCCAUGAUGUUCACUUAGAGUCUACAUCCCCAACCAUAUCCCUUCGACCCAUGUAUUCAAGCAGUUGUUUUUCUUUGGUAUUUUUACUCCCAGUAUUUCCUGAAUCAUUAUUAUUAAGAAUAGCACAUUUAUAUAAUACUUUAAAGUUUGUUUUUGAUACAAUUCUCUCAGAUAAGUAACACAAAGUAUUAUCACUCCCAUUUUAUAGAGAAGGAAACUGAGGCUCUGAAAGGUUGACUGAGUUACUAAAGAUUACCCUGCUUAUAAGAGCUUGAAGUAAGAUUCAAACCCAAGUCUCUGACUUCAAGUCUGACACUCUUAUCUGCUACCAACACAAGUGAAAGCCUAUUACAACCUACGUUCCUUUAGACCAGAGGUUCUUAACCUGAGAUCUGUGAACCUGAGUGGAAAAAAUUACAUAUGUAUUUCAACAUAAUUGGUUUCCUAUCUAAUCUUCUGUAUUUUAUUUUAUGCAUUCAAAAACAUUCUUUUGGGGGCAGCUGGAUGGCUCAGUGGAUUAAAGAGCCAGGCCCAGAGAUGGGAGGUCCCGGGUUCAAAUUUGGCCUCAGACACUUCCUAGCUGUGUGACCCUGGACAAGUCACUUAACCCCCAUUGCCUAGCCCUUGCCACUCUUCUCCCUUAGAACCAAUCUAAGACAGAAGGUAAGGGUUAUUAAAAAAAAAAAUCUUUGAGAAGGGGUCCAUAGGUUUUACUAAGCUGACAAACUGUCCUUGUUCAGGACACAAACAAGGUUCAGAACUCUUGGUUUAGCCUGAGGCCAUGUCUUAGAAUCAGAGCUCAAAGGACUCCAUAAAAUCUAUACACUCUAUAUUACAGGCUUUAAGUAUAUAAGGAUGACAACUUUUAUUUUAAACCUUUACCUUCCAUCUUAGAAUCAAUACUGUGUACCAGUUCAAAGCAGAUGAAUAUUAAGUAUUUGAGGUCACAUCUGAACCCAGGACCUCCUGCCUGACUUUCAAUCCAUUGAGCCAUCUAGCUGCCCCCAAUUUAUAUUGUUUUAUUUCAGAAUCUUCCUAUAAAGGCAAAAGAGCUCAUCCAAAUAUCCCAGGAGAAGAGUGUUACCAAAAAGGGGAAUAAGGUAGUGGGAUCUGGGAGGAAAGGGAAGAAACAAGCUUUUAUAGAUUGCCUACAUUGUGCCAGGUAUUGUGCUAAGCACUUCAGAAAUUUUCUCAUUUGAUCCUAAAGAAAAUCCUUGGAGAGAGGUGUUAUUAUCCCCAUUUUACAGUUGAAGAAACUAAGGUAAAGAGAAGUUAGAUGACUGUCCCAGGUUCACACAACUAAUAAGCGUCUGGGGCAGGAUUUGAACUUGGGUUUUCCUGACUUAAUUUAGGUCAGGUUAACUCUCCUUAACUUAGGUUUGUCCAAUGCUCUACCACAAAAGCUACCUUUUCAUGGGAUAUGUUAUACUACUGAGAAGGAACUGGAAACAGAUAACUGACUAUUCCAUUCUGUCUCAAUGCAAUAUUCAUCUGUUGUGGGUCACUGGGUCUUUCCAUAAACACUUAUUAUAAUUUUUAUUGUA